rnacentral:rRNA from 1 species
GCGGGACUACCCGCUGAGUUUAAGCAUAUCAAUAAGCGGAGAAUAUUUGUCGAUACCUGGCCGCCCAAAGACCCGCCAACACUUAAACCACCGGGGGGCGAGGCGGCUCCCGGGGGGCGUCAGCCCUCCGCGCGAACCAUUGAAGGGGGGGUCCUCCCUCUGUGGGUCCGUCGGCUUACAACAGGGUCGGGGAAAGCCAAGGAAAUUAUAAAAAAAAAAAAUA